CGGCAUACUGCUCAGUUAACACGUGGACAACCUAACCUAUUGAAGGGGAUAACCCCGGGAAACUGGGGAUAAUACCCUAUAGACUAUGGAAGCUGGAAUGCUCUGUAGCCGAAAGGUCCGCCGCCAUAGGAUGGGUCUGCGGCCGAUUAGGUUGUUGUUGGGGUAACGGCCCAACAAGCCUGUAAUCGGUACGGGUUGUGGGAGCAAGAGCCCGGAGAUGGAUUCUGAGACACGAAUCCAGGCCCUACGGGGCGCAGCAGGCGCGAAAACUUUACAAUGCGGGAAACCGUGAUAAGGGAACUCUGAGUGCCCGUAAAAUCGGGCUGUCCAUCAGUUUAAAAAACUGGUGAAGAAAGGGCCGGGCAAGACCGGUGCCAGCCGCCGCGGUAAUACCGGCGGCUCGAGUGGUGGCCACUAUUACUGGGCUUAAAGCGUUCGUAGCUGGUUUGUUAAGUCUCUGGGGAAAUCUUCCGGCUUAACCGGAAGGCGUCUCAGGGAUACUGGCAGACUAGGGACCGGGAGAGGUGAGAGGUACUCCAGGGGUAGGAGUGAAAUCCUGUAAUCCUUGGGGGACCACCUGUGGCGAAGGCGUCUCACCAGAACGGCUCCGACAGUGAGGGACGAAAGCUGGGGGAGCAAACCGGAUUAGAUACCCGGGUAGUCCCAGCUGUAAACGAUGCGCGUUAGGUGUAUCGGUGACCACGAGUCACCGAGGUGCCGAAGAGAAAUCGUGAAACGUGCCGCCUGGGAAGUACNGUCGCAAGGCUGAAACUUAAAGGAAUUGGCGGGGGAGCACCACANCAGGUGGAGCCUGCGGUUUAAUUGGAUUCACCCCCGGA
rnacentral:rRNA from 1 species